rnacentral:lncRNA from 1 species
GAGUUUCAACAAACCUGGGGAGGAAUGCGGCAGUAUUUGUGUUUGAUUCUUGUUCUACCAGAGUGACAACCUUGGGAUUCAGUGACUUUAUCAUCCUCAGAAGCCCAUCCCUUGGAUUGUUCAAAUCUACACUUUCAUCUGGGGUGUGGUGGAGUUGCAGAGGAAAGUUCACAGCCAGAGCUUCACCAGGCCUGACACCAAGCAUAUCUAGUGUUACAUCUGGAGCAAAAACAGGUAUUGGAUUAAACUCAACAAGGAUAUUGAAUUUCUGAGAUAUUGCUGCCAAACGUCUCCCAACAGCCUCCAACCCAUCACCACGGGCAUAUUUAGAAACAGGAUCAUCAAUUCCUGUUAUCCGAACACGAGGAGCCCCAGAUGGUUUUGCUGCAAGUGCCUGUAAUAAAGUCAUCCAUUGUGUACCCUGAGCUAUUUGGAAGUCGAUGAUAUGUAUGCAAUCCUCAGUUUUGCAUGCUUCAGCAAUGGCACCGUUGGCUGCCAUGUAACCAAACUUCAAGUAGGGGCAGAUUUCAUAAAGGAUAUGCAUGUAAGAAAGUAAAUCCUUGCUUUCUGGCUCCCUACAUCGCAGAGCACGGUAUAUGUUAGAACCUGAUUUCUCUUUUCUAGCUACCAACGCUUCCACCAUGUAAGCCCCAAGACGCUGGAUUGGUUCUCCACCUACAGACACAGCACCUCUAGCCUUUUCAAUCAACUUAUCAAAAUCAUUAAUAUUGUUUUCAGAGAGAGCUUUAGCGCAUGCAAUUAAUAACUGCUUCAGAUUGCCUGAUGGAAAGCCCUGCAGAGAUGAUUCCCCAAUUGCCAUCUGACUGUUCUCAAUUUGAGCACCUUCAGCUGACUGCCUAUACCUAGAAAUGAAGGACGGCUGAGGCUGAAUCACAUGUGAACCAUGGUGUUCUUGGCUCCAAGACCUAGGUCUGUGGCCAGGUGCUUGCGGCUUACUACUUCCCCCAUAAGAAGUAUUUGGUUUUGCUGCUUCUUCUUCAUCAGGCCCCAUUAGUACAGUCUCUAACUCCUGCAAAACGUGUUUUAUUUUCUGGCUACUAUUUGCAUUCUGCAGAUAUGAAGUCCCACC